UUUUUUUUUUUUUGAAUUUUGGGUGCACAAAAGAAAAAAGUAGUAUACGUACAUAGUUUAUUAAUUCAAUCAUAUUUUAUUGAACUAAUUGUUUCUGUAUGAAUGUCAUAGUUAUUUUCCUCCAUUUUCUCCCUUAUUUGGUCUUAAGUUGGAAAAAAAUAAAAUUUAAAAUGGUGAAAGAGAGUGGAAGUGAAGGGAGGGGGUGGGGGUGGAGGGAGAUGUAGAGAGUAGAGGACUAAUUUUUUUUAGUUUUUAAUUUACUGUAGAAUUCAAAAUGAGGUCAAUCAGAUGACUCAUAUAUUAAGUAAUUUCAAAUCAUUUAAAUGAAAAAGAGCAUAAAGUUCCCUUAAAGUAUGAGAUUUGGUACAACAUUGUCCUCCAUCCAUCUUAUGAGUAUAAGUCAUUAGACAUGAGGGUAUUUUUGAGCCAAAAAGCUGAUGUCAGUGGUAUUUGGGGGUCGAAGGUGGUUGGAAGGACGUUUUGUACCAAUUCAAAUAGUUGAGGGGUAUUUUAUGCUUUUCUCCAUUGUUUAUAACAUCCUCUGAAAUCUCUUGUACCCAGUCGGACCCCUCUAGUAAUAACUUGUUGAAAAUUGAAUGAUCUAGAUAAAAGAGUUUUAGACUUCGGGAGCUACUUGAAGAAUACUGAAGGGAUUAAAGUAAACAAAAACAACUUUAAAUAUGCUAUAAUGGCAAGUCAACGGAGUCUUAAGGUUUCAUUAUGGGACAUUGAUUUGCAUCUUAAAGCGGUAAAUCAAGGCAAAUGAGGAAUCAUUACUUCAUUUGUGAAGCCAUGCACUUUAGAUUAGUGUGUACUUGUAUUCCCCGUACCUGCGCAUAGCAGGAGAUUUAGUGCAUUGGGCUUCCCUUCAAAUAAUGAUGAACAAAACAACCCCAACAAUAGUCGGUCAAUUUACUAUGAGGGGUUGUAUUAAAAUCAACUUUAUUAUAGCAUUAAAUCCUUACACGUUUGGUAUUUUUUCCUAUAACUUGUGUGCGUUUCUUCAACUAAGUGUGCACUUCAAUUCUCAAUAUUUUCUUCAAGACCAUAGAUCUUGUUUCAUUAUUUAUUUUUUUGUUGGUUUCGAAAACAUUGUAAACUAAUAGUAUAAGUUUGCUUGAUGGUGUUAUCACUACAUCAACAAUGAUUAAAGUAGGUCAAUUAUCCUAAUGUUUUCAUAUGGAGGGAUUCAUGCUCAAAUCACCUUGAUCUAGGUAACGAUCAAGUUUUUCCUCUUUAAGUGGAGUAUAUUAUUUUCUCUUUGUGCUAAAGAAUUCUUGGUCUUCUCCAAUAAGGAGAGGCGGUGAGAAUAAUUUAUAAGAUUUAACACAAAUAUUAUGUGUUGGUCUUUGUUUUCUGAGUUUGAAUAUGGAUGAGAUAAGAGGUGUGAAGGAACUGAAAGGUAAUUGCGCUAACAAUCUUUUCCCAUUUACCAAUCAGGAAAUCAGUGAUGAUGUUUCCCCCCUUCAUCAUGUGAAUAAAAUAUUGCAAUGCAAAAAUUUCCUUAACCUACUCUUGUGGUUGUCUUUACCUCAAGAGACUACAAAAAUAAAUUACUUGUUAGAGAAAAUCACUACAAGAAAAGCAGGCACAAUCCCUUUCCGUUGUUAUCAUUUUGACAUUUAGAAGGGGAGCCUUGAAACAACUGUAAAGUUCUCUCGGUGGAAUCAACCUAAAAUGUUUGCAUCAAGAUAGGGUGUCUUCGACAGAAAUGCAAGAUGCUUCAUGCACCAUGCUACCCUUAUCAUUUUGAUGCUAAAUCUGUAGAUUUGAUUGAAUACACUCCUCGUUAAUCUAAUAAUAACUUACAAACGAAAUAAUAUAAGCCUACUAAUGGACUUUUGGAGUGUAUUUAGCAAAAGCUUAACUAUCAUUAGUAUAAUGCUACUUGAUGCAUCAACGACCAAGGCCGCUAAUAUGAAUAUCAAAAAUGUUGCUCGUGACCUUAGCCUUCUCUUGAAUCACUAAUACAUAAAGCCAUCAACGUUAAUUUGUCUCACUAUAGAAACCUAAACCCUCUAUGCCUCAUCCAAAUGUAUUAGUGUCUUAAUAAUCACCAUCAAAACACUUCACUUUAAGGAUGCUUACAUAACACCCUACUCAAACUCCACUUAUUGGCUUACACUGGGUUUGAUGGGAAUAUUGUUUGCAUUUUAACUUGCGCAUUAUACUGAUUUUGUUAUUCUUACCACUUGUAGGUUGAUCUCUGUGUUGAUAAAAAAAAUAUGCAACAGACUAUUUAUAAUAGAGAGAAAGAAAAAACAUAGUACAUUAUUCCACUCAUGACCAAGUACUCAUGAGUAGAGCUUGGAUUGCAAAAGAAGUUUAAUGCUUAGAAUGAUCAGAAGUAACAAAAUGUGUAUGUCUUUCCUCACAUACAUGUACUUUAUAAAAGCUAUCGAAUUAUAAGAUUUGUCAAGGUAUCGCCUUCAAUUUUUCAUGACAAGAGAAAAAUCAGGAAAUCACGGGAUGUUUAUUUAAUCAGGGAGUUUGCUGCUUACCAAAGGUGGAAGAGCCUGACAGGAAGAUUAGAAAAAAAAUCUUAUAUGAGUUUCCAUUACAACAGAUCUUGUAUACACCAUAUAAAUACACAUACAACAAUGAACUCAUUUUACUUAAGAUCUUAAAGCAAGCAUGUUAAGUCAACAUAUAAGAGUAGAAACAACUUAAGUGAGCUCACAUGUGUUAUAUAUCAAGACCAAAGACAAGAGAUUCAGAAGGGUCUUGCACCUGAAGCAGUCUUUUCAGGGAUAUUGACAAUUGGUUCCAUCUGCAUAGUUUGUUCAACUGUCAGUUAUGUCGCAACAUUAAAAGAAGAUAUUGUUGUCUCAUAAAUGUAAACAUACUUUGGCCUCCCUCUGUUGAGGCAUAUUUGGAAUCUGCUCAAUUUGGUGGCUGUAGGACAUAUGAACAUAAAAAAGAGUUAGAAAAUGUAAUAUCAUAGCAAUAAAAACUAAAUUCUUUUGUCAUAGUUGUGUUUGCACCAAACCCAAUGGAAACAUGAUUUCGUUCAAGAACAAAGCAUCACAGAGAUAGCAUGAAGAUAAGUGAACAAGGCAGUCAUGAUAAAAUACAUUAGGUGCAGAAACAAUGGUCCAUAUUAGCAAAUAAAUAUAACAUAUCGUUACCUAGAAUUAGUUACAAAUGGUGCCCUCAGAGGAGAAGAUGAUGGCACAACAAAAGGGACUUGACAUACCACAUUAUCCAUAGUUCAUACAACCUGAAGAUUUAACAAAAUCAUGGAUUUAGAUUAUAAUGUAAUAAAGUAGUCUAAAAAAAGAGAAAUUUAACCUAGAAAUACCUCAGCAUGCGGCUCUUUAGCAUGCUCCGCCUGAUUAGAGUUGAACCUACUAUAGAACAAAUCCCAUCAAUCUACUAGAAAUUCCUCCGGAGAUUCUAUAGCUGAAACAAAUUAUAGGACUAAAUAAUUGUACAUUAUCACAUACAAUAGAUAAAAUAAUUAGUCACUAUAUUUUGCACCACCUUCGAAAAUAAUGAAUAUCAAUUAAUUAUUAAUACAAUUCUAUAAACACGAAAAGAGUUGUCGAGAAAAAAUUGACCCUCGAUAAGUUAACCACAAUAUUCAAAGAAUGACAUCAUCUAUCAUUCCCUCCAUUCUAUUUCUGUGGAUACUUUUUUAUGUUACACUCCGACACAUUUUUCUUAUUAAUUUAUCUCCCCAAAAUAUAACCUUUAUAUUUUUAAAAAUAAUUCUAACUUUAAAAUCCUCAUGUUAUUACCUUCAUGAGUUGCUAAGUCAGUUCAACUUUGCUUAUUAAUUUAUCCCCCCAAAAUAUAACCUUUAUAUAUUUAAAAAUAAUUUCAACUUGUUUGAUUUUAAGAGACUAAAUCAAUUCAGCUUCUGCAUUUAUUUAAAUUAUCUUAAUGUGUUGUUUAAUAUUGUUGAUUCAUAGGGUCAUGCCACGCCACGAGGUUAGCUUGGGAUCACUUGUGGCUUUAAGCACUAUGUCGCAACUAGGGGGUAGUCUCAGAUCUUGAUAGUAUGUAUCUGGUGUGAUUAUCAUAUAUCUGGAUCUCAGAUACAUAAGAUAGUGGUGAGCGAGUGGGAGAGAGGCGAGGGAGGUGAGCGAGAUUUAUUAUGUAUUCCAGAUACAUGCAAAUCCACAUGUAAAUAAAUGUAUCUAGAAAAAAUUACACCUUAUUUUAACCCCAUGUAUCCCAAGAUACAUGUAGUUGGGCGCACCAAAAUCUAGUAAGACAUGCAAUAUUGCAAACUAAAGUGUAUCUAUGUAAUUUGAUCCUAAACUAGUGGGAUUUAUGUAAGUUUUAAAACUUAAUUUGCAUGAAAAGACUUUCUUUUUUUCUUAAAAUGAAACCAUACAAAUGAAAGUUCUUAAAAAUAACAUGAUCAUCAAUAAAAGUAUAGCGCGAUGCAUGAAAAAAAAAAUCACCCAAAGUCUGAGAAAAGUUCGCAUCACAAAAGGAUAUGACUUAGGCAACCUAUCGUAACUCAAACAUCGGUGGAUGAUUUCAUGUCUCACCCUAAGUUACAGGUCACAUAGAGACUACUUUUAAUGAAAUGAUAAUUUGUUGUAAAUUUAAAGAAAUACUUACCAUCGCCUAUUGGAGUUCCAACAUCAACUUAUCCAACCUGAAGAACAACCAAUAAAAUCUCAUUAAUUUGAUGUAAACUAUUUUUCUCUAAAAUAUUUUCCUCAUGAAGUCCCAAUCAAAUAUUAAUUAAAAGGAAAAAAAUCAAAAUUGACCCUAUUCUGUUUUUAUUGGUCAAUUUUAUCCUUCAUUAUACCUUUGUCUACUCCUGCCUUUACAAUUAUCGAAUUGUCUCUAUUUGCUCUUAUUAUUAGUUGAGCUCGCGAUGGAUAUAAGAAAAAUGAGUUAAUACUAAAGUAUAACAUUACAUUAAGUUAGAGCUUCAUUAAGGGUUAAGAAAACGAAAACAUAGUAAGAUUAUACCAAAAAUCUUUUAACAGACAAAGUUCCUAAAUUUAGGAUAAUUAUUGGGACAAAUGAUUUUUCAACCUUUAUUAAAACAUAAAUCCAUCUAACCUAACCAUACUUUAGUUGGUUGGAUUUAAUUUUUUUCAUAGAUCAUUUUGGACAUGACAAAAGGCACCUGUAUAGAAACUAGGGUCAUUUUUAUUAGAUCUGUAGCACAAAAAUUCACAGGAAAAUAUGUCUAAACAUAAAAAAUAAAAAAAAGUAUAUAUUUUUAUUUGGUUUCUUUCAUGAUAAAUGGAAAAAAGAGAGUAUAUUUUAUAGUUUCAUUUAAAAAUUAAGAAAAUAAAACUAAAAAAGUAAAAGAAGAAUACUAAUUUGGAAUUCGACGGAUUGAGUUAUGACCUAUUAUCUAUACUUUUGACGCACCAAUUUAUUUUCCACUGAAUCCACACAGAUUGACCCCAAGUAACAAUUGGACAUGUUUUAAAUCAAUUCAACCAUAUUGAAAGAAUUCUCCAAAAGAAUAUUACCUAAGAUAAAUUUAUGCUUUACAUAAAACAAAAUUAUUUUAAAAAAAAUCUCACCUAAAAUUAUGAAAACAUAAAAGGAGAUAAUAACAUUACAAUGCCUACAUAAAUCAUUAAAAGUCAUAAAUUUUAUACUCACAACUUUUGAUGACUCUCCAUGAUAAAAAAAAAGUGAAUGGAGAAACAGAAGAAAAUGAGAGUGAAGACCAAAUGGAAGAGAAGACACAAACAAACAAACAAAAUAUAUUUUUGACUUGAGAAUAAUGAGUGAUAAAAGAGACAAUAAUGUUGGCUUUUAAUAGGUGAAUAGGAAAUGAAGAGUCGUGACUUUUACCAAGGAUUGUGUCAUUAUGAAAGGUUGUGUCUUUUCUAAGGGGGUUGUAACCGUUCUAAAAGGUUGUGCCUUUUUCAAAGAAUUGUGACCUUUCUGAAAGGUUGUGCCUUUUUCAAAGGAUUGUGUUGUGACCUCUCUGAUAAGGCACAAUUAUCACUUUUUCAUACCACCCUCUGUUAGCUACCAAUAAAGAGGUUCUCUCAUUUUUAUAAAUUCAAUUCUUCUCUUCUUUUGCAUACAUCAAUCGAUCAUGUCCGUGUGUGUGAUCUCGUUGCUGUCUUUUUGAGUUCGUUGAAACUAUUGAAGUUUGAGGUACCGCUACUUCUUUACUUCUUCUGUUUUGCAAACCCGAAUACAUGAGGUAACAAAAAAAAGGAUGCAAAAUAUAGAAAAGAAAGAAAAAAGAAGUCUACACUUUCAUUGUUAAAAUGGAAAAAAGAAAUUUAUUACAAAGUGUAUGUAAUAAAAAAAUAUGGCAUGUAAAUGAAUGAUAGGUGACAUGGACUUGAAAAGAGUUAGAAAGAAAAAAAAGACGAGUAAAAGGUUGAAAAGAGGAAAAAGAAAUCUACAAUUUCAUUGUUAAAAUGGAAAACAAUUUAUUAUAAUAGUGUGCAGCGUAAAGUAAUGGAAAAUAUUCAAUAAAAUUAAUGAUGGGUGAUUAUUUACAAACCAAAUAUUGUAUUGGUUUAAAGAGUGUGAGAAAGAAAAGAGAUGAGAAAAAAGAUGUCGAAAAAGAAAAAGAAAUCCACACUUUAUUUGUUAAAAUGGAAAAAAGAAUCAUUUUAAAGUGCGUGCAAAAAAAACGUAAGGCAAGUAAACAAUGCAGUAAAUUGAAAGAUGUGUGAUGAUUUGGCUAGUGCAUAAAGUUUAAAUAUAUGUACAAAACAUUUAAAGUAAUAAAAAGUUUCUUUUUUAUCUCCACAACUGCGAUUUUCUUUAAGAUUUCAAGUUUUUUUUCCUUUUUAAUCAAUUAGUUCACAUUACCCUUUAAUUACUUAAGAAUAUUCUUUUUAUAUAGUUCAAAAAUAAUUUAUUUGCUUCAUAUGCCUUUGACUCCUAAAAUCAUCGGCCAAUUUUAAAUAUUUUUCUUAAUAAAGAAGUGGGUGAAGUUUCAUAGAAAAAUUAUAAGGUCUUAUCUGGGAAUUGUACUUUUAAGAAAUUGAUUUAUUUUUCAAAUUUUAAAAGUUUUUGAAUUUAAAUUCUAAACUAUCUGAGAAUAUUUCUGGAGUGGAGAAUUAAUAAUUUUAUAAAAAGGAUAUGGACAAAAUCAAAAGAAGAAUAAUUUUAAUGUAUGUAAACAAAAAUCACACGAAAUAUUGUUGUUUUGAAAGAUGUACGAUCUCCUAAAAUCAUCCGGACAACAAAAAAUGGAUGUAAGAAGAAAAUAAUUAGGAAAAUAACUAACUAGCUAUGUUUAAAGUUUUAAUUAAGUUGAUACAUUUAAUUUAGCUCCUGUUAGUGUGAUAUUUCAAUAUUAAUACGCUUUGCCACAAUGUGUCCAUCGGUGGUCAUUAUAUGCCUCUUUAUUUUCAUUAAAAGAGCCUCAUUGUGUUGGAAUAAUGUCAUAUGUUAGUGGAGAAUUGAAAGUUACAAUGUUGGUCAGAUUGGUGCAUUUAGCAACCAAAGUUUAUGGGAGGAGAAAGAAAUUUAUUUCUAUUACCGUUAACUAAUUAUUUAUCCAUUAUUUUAUCUCAUUAUAUAUUGUAACUUACGAAAGUUUAGGGUUAAUCAUUUACCUACAUUAUUAUCCAUAUUCAAUACAAGGAAGAAUUCCUCGCCUAUAAAUAGUGGUCCUUCUUUCUUUGUGAAAAAAAUCCCCCCAAAACAAUGAGAAGUGUGAAAAAAAAAUUUGUAGUGAGGUUAGUGAAAGAGAUAGUCGAGAAGAGUAUUCAAAGUCUUGAUCAACUAAUUCACUAUACAAAAGAGAGAAACUAUAUGUUGAAGGAAUAUGUUCUUUCUAUGAAGUUUUGGACUCUUCAACUAUCCACAGUUGUUUGAGUUAUACAACAUUGUUGGAUAUUGUGUUCUGGAGGGGACAAGUCAAGAGUAUUACUACAGAAUCGGUGUAGAUAAUGUCAUAAUGGCUUGAAUCUCUUGUAAUAGAGCAACAUAUUCACGCCUCAGCUUGAAUGCCUUUUUUAUUCAUUUUUAUCAUUUUAUUUUCAACUAUAAUUUAUUCUUUUUGUGAUAAAUUACACCAACAGGUUCAUUAUCCGCUAUUAGUCUUUUGUUCUAUUUAGAAACAAUAUUAUCAUUUAGAAAAUGUGGAGAAUUUCUAACGUUGAGAAAAACUACAUAAUAAUUUUAAAUAUUGAAAAGACACGAAUUUAAAUGGGGAUAUGACACAUAUUUGAUUUGACAAUUGAUAAAAAUGAUCUCCAUACUACAAAUAUAACAGAAACCAACAGUAGAUAACUUAUGUCGAAACAACAAAAAAUUAUCGUCGGUCAUAUUUAACAACAAAUUAGCAAUAAUUAUGUUAGUUAAACGCCUAUUUAACAAUAGAUUUAAGUGACAAAUUUUGUAGUUAAUUUUUAUUUUUUUAUUGUAACUUUUUCGUGGAAUUGAUAUAAACCAAUUUAUUAUAAUAGUGUGCAAUUUAAUGCAAUGCAAAAUAUUCAAUAAAAUGAAUGAUGAGUGAUAAUUUACAAACCAAAAGUUGUAUUGGCUUAAAGAGAGUGAGAAAGAAAAGAGAUGAGAAAAAAGAUGCAAAAAAAACCCACAUUUCCAUUGUUAAAAUGGAAAAAAUUCAUUAUAAUGUGAGCGCUAAAAAAAGUAGUGAAAUUAAACAAUGCAGUAAAUUAAUAGAUGUGUGAUAGUUUGGUUAGUGAAUGAAUAAAAUAAAAAAUAUAUGCACAAAAACAUUCAAAGUAAUAAAAAGUCUUCUUGUUUUAUCUCCACAACUGAGAUUUUCUUUAAGAUUUAAAGUUUUUUUUCCAUUUUAAUCAAUUAGUUCAAAUUACUGUUUUUUACUUAACAAUAUUCCUUUUAUCUAUAUAGUUCAAAAAGUAAUUUAUUUUCUUCAUAUGCCUUUGACUCCUAAAGUGAGAGAGGCGAGUGAGAGAGCGAGUGAGAGAGCGAGAUCUGGGAGAGUGACGAGCGAGAUCUGGGAGAGGGGAGAGAGGGGAACGAAAAUAUAUGUAUAUAUACAAUUUUCNNNNNNNNNNNNNNNNNNNNNNNNNNNNNNNNNNNNNNNNNNNNNNNNNNNNNNNNNNNNNNNNNNNNNNNNNNNNNNNNNUUUAUACAAACACAAACGCACUUUAUACACUUGCAUUUGUAUAAAAAAUGAGAGAGGCGAAAGAGAGAACGAGAGUGGCGAGCGAGAUUCACCAGGAGAGAGGUGAAAUAGCAACAGUUUGCUAUGAGGUACAAUUAAAUCAAACUAUAUUUAUAGCAUUUAAUUUGAAUUAAUAGUUUGCUAUUAUAUACAAUUUUCCCUUCUAUUUAUCUUUUUGAAUUUUUUUUCUAUUUUUUUAAUUAUUAUUGUACAAAAAUGAAUGUGUCAAUUACUACUCCACUAAUUCAUAUUAUUUAAUAUAAAAACUUAAUUGUCUUUAUUUUCAUUACUCCCAUGACUUUUGAUAAUCGUGACUCCUAAUUUAUAUUAAUAGAGUCAUAUUCAUGAUAUCUUUUGGUAUUCCAUAUUAUGUCCUAUAAAUAGAGGCAUUAGAAAAUUUUGUUACAAAAUAAAUGAUCAAAUUUAUAUGUAUAGUUGAGCUAGGGAUUAACUAGGUGAAACUUGCACAUCUUUUUGACCAAGAAUCACAAAUUUUCUUGUAGCUUAAUAAAAUAGCAUUUUAUAGCUUAUAUAUUGCUUUCAAUUUUUUUUUACUUAUAUGAAAUUUAAUUGUUUUAUUGCAGGUGUCCUUUUUUUAAAUGGGAAAUAUGAUAUUAAACUGAUCAAAUUUCAUUCUGGCAAUUUACUGAAAAAAUUUAAACAAGCUCCCCCAAGAUUAUUGGCGAAAAGGUAUAAUUAUUUUUCUUUUUUAUUUACAUGUAAGUCGAAUUUUUUAUUACUUGAAUUUUAUUGAAAGAAAUUGGCAAGAGUUUCAAGUAAUGCAAAAUUUUAUAUCAAAAACUCGGUGUCAAAUUGAUAAAAAAGUCAUUUUAAAGUAAAACUUAAUGGUCUUUAUUUUCAUUAAUCCCAUAACUUUUUUAUUAUCAUAACCUCUAAAAUAAUUAAUAGUCAUAUUCAUGAUAUUAUUUGGUAUUCUAGAUUAUAGUCCUAUAAAUAGUGAUAUUGUAAGACUUUGUUGAAAUGACCACAUUGACAUUAUAAAUUGUCAUGUUUUUAGUGUUUAUUAUAUUGAUGCAUUGGUUCUUGUAGAAUUAGAUAAAGAUUAUUGUAUGGUGAUUGUGACUUGUGGAAGUUGAUAUCAACAAGAGCUCGGAAGAUUGUACAUUAAUUUCAUAAUUUUUUUUAAUGUUCUAAUAAUUAAGAUCGUAAAAAUGAUAUUGUAUUAUUUAUAAAUUUUAGUUCUCUCAUGAUUUCUUUUUGUUUUGUAUUUUAUAUAAAGUUUUGAUUGGCGUAAAUUUAUAAUUUCAUUUGUUCAACAUAGUAAAUUGUGACUUUGUUGGACAUAAUUAUCUCCUCUUCUUCUUUUUUUGGUUGUUUAGUUCCUCAGAAAUGUCUAAAUAUAAUUUUUUUCCAUGAAUUUUCAAUUAUAAAUACUUCAUUACAAAUUUUAAAGAACACUAAAAUCUACACAAUAAUGUCUUGAGUCUUUUGAGUUUUUCAUCUUUAUUGUAAUCAUUGACUAAGAAUUAUGUUUCUAUUCUAAUUUUUCUUUUACAAUUUCUCUAUUUUUUAUUGUAGAAUAAUAAAUAUGUCAAUUAAGUAUUCAUUUAUACUCUUUAUUACAAAACUUAAUGGUCAUUAUUUUCAUUACUCCCAUAAUUUUAUUAUCAUAAUCUCUAAAUAAUUAAUAGUCAUAUUCUUGACAUUAUUUGUUAUUCAUAUUAUUGUCCUAUAAAUAAAAGUAUUGUAAUACUUUGGACAAAUGAUCUGUAACAGCCUGGAAAAUUUUUUGAGCUAAGACUCAAACCAUUCUUCGUAGUGAGUAAGAUUUUACGAAGGAAUUUAAAAUUUUCUUAAGUUUUAGGGUCACUAGAUCUAGCACCUUGAGUUCCAAAAAGAACUAAAGAGAAUUCCUUCAAGUAAUUCCUAGGUUCUUUUAAGUUUUGGGUCAACUUUAAACGACCAUAACUUUAGGCAUAGGAUGAGUUAGGAGACCCAUAAGAUAUCAAAUGAAAGAUCUUGGAAUCCUCUUUCCAACGCCGCCAAGUUUGCUAAUUUUUGAGCUCAUAUAAUGGAAAUAUGCCCAUUUGAAAUCAGACUGUCCAAUUAAGGAAAGUUACCCAAAAAUAUGAGGGGUAUUUUGGUCCUUUCCUUACCCAAUCGGAUUUAAACGUUUUUAGUAAGGUUUUAGGAGUCUAAACUGAUUAGAAUCAGUUUUAGUUGUUCCUAAAAUACGCUUAGGGUUUUUAGAGGAGUUCAAGAAGAGGAGAAAAGGAAUAACGUUCAAGAUUUUUGCGAUUCUUCGAGGGAUUUCGCCAAGGAUUUUAUCCUAAGAGGUAUGUAAGCUUCCAUAGUGUUGGGUUCGUUCACCCACACACCAAUCAUGAGUUUAUUUUUGUAACACCCCAGAAACUAUUAGGCUUAACUAGAGCUUGUCAUAAGUGUUAGAGUCAUAAAAAUUACUCCUCGUACUAAGAAUGAAGGGUUUAAGGGUUAGAGGUCAAGGUACGACCCCACAAGGACCAACCAAGGUCCUUGAGGAGGACCCUAGAACUCCCCUUAAAACAUCCCAAAUAGUGACCCACGGAUGGUGACCUACGGGGAGUAGGUCCAUCCACGUCUCGUGGGUGAGAUCCGUAGCUCAAGCCCAAUUUCAUCAAGCCACAGAUCAUGAACCACGCCCAACCAGGACGGGCCGUGGUCCCACCCACAGUCUGUGGGUCAUGGGUCGUGGGUCAUGCCUACAAGCUAUCCCAAAGUCGGUUGAAAGGAGGGGUCUUUAGGUAAUUUCCUUUUUAGUUAGUAUGAUGUGAGGUCAUUUUGUAUUGUUUUUAUUCACCUAUAUAAGUCUUUUUAAGUCAUUAACCAACCCAUUCACUUCAUAAAUUCCCAAAACCCAAAUACAUAACCAACUUUACCCAAAAUAAACUCUCUCUAGAACUCCAAGGAAGAAGAAGAAGAAAGGUGAAGCUAGGGUUGAAGAAUCAAGAUUUUCUCCUCAAAUUCAUGGGAAUUCUUCAAUCAGGUAUGGUAGCUCUUCAUCCAUGGGUAGCCUUCACCCAUGGAGCCCAUCAAAACCCCCAAUUUCGAAGCUAGAAAACCCAAAAGCUAGGGUUUGACUUCAAUCUCAUGGAUUCCUUUCAAAUUCAUUUUUAAUGAUUGAAUUAUGUUUUUUUAUGGAUAUAUUGAUGAUUCUAUAUGAUUUUAAGUUUAAUUCCUCAAGAAUCCAUGAAUUCCCCUAUUUUCCCAAAUUGGAUCUUAAAGUGUGGGUAUUGAUUAAUGCAAGUAGAAUGUUAUAGAAUUAUGAAUGUUAUGAAUUGAUUACUUGAUUUAUGUUAUCAUCCAUGUCUAAUGUAUUAAUUCUAGAUGUGUUGAUGAAUUAUGAUCCGUGGUCCUUGAAGGGCAAAGUAUGAGAAUUAUGCAUUAUUAUGAGAUUUAUGUAUGUGCUUUAAGGACACUUUGAGAGUAAAGUGAAUAUGACUAUGAUCUAAUUGUUGUGUUGUUGGAUGAUUAUACUAAUUGUCACACCCCUUUUCGCGCAUAGCGGCGGAAGGGUUUUUUCAAUUUAAGUGACGGUAUUGAUUUAGGGAUUAUUUUAUUUUCGUUUCAGAGUCGCCACUUGAAAUUGAGUUAUGGUGUUCCAAGUCACCUUUUCAAAUCCCUAAUCAAUAAGAAAUGACUCUUUUAGUUUUGGUCUACGAACUAGAUAUUCGGGUAAGGAAUUCUGUUGACCGAGGGGAAGGUAUUAGGCAUCCCUCGAGUCCCGUGGUUCUAGCACGGUCGCUUUUAUUGACUNNNNNNNNNNNNNNNNNNNNNNNNNNNNNNNNNNNNNNNNNNNNNNNNNNNNNNNNNNNNNNNNNNNNNNNNNNNNNNNNNNNNNNNNNNNNNNNNNNNNNNNNNNNNNNNNNNNNNNNNNNNNNNNNNNNNNNNNNNNNNNNNNNNNNNNNNNNNNNNNNNNNNNNNNNNNNNNNNNNNNNNNNNNNNNNNNNNNNNNNNNNNNNNNNNNNNNNNNNNNNNNNNNNNNNNNNNNNNNNNNNNNNNNNNNNNNNNNNNNNNNNNNNNNNNNNNNNNNNNNNNNNNNNNNNNNNNNNNNNNNNNNNNNNNNNNNNNNNNNGUGCAUAAAACUCAUCUAGUAUUAAAAGUACUUACUCUUAUUUUUCUGAAUUCUAGACAACUAAUCUUCUCAUUUCAUUAUUAUAUUUAUUGAUGAUACUUUUAAUUAAAUUAAUCCACAUGUUAAAAUAUAUAUUAGAAUAAUUUUAUCAAGGUGUGUCACCACAUCCUUGAAUUUCUUUUAAGUGUUUCAAAAAAGAUGUGUAACCACAUUCUUAAUUGAAACAAAUAUUAUUAUAUUUUACAUGCCUAAUACCCCUCUAAUGUUAUAAGAAAAUAUUAAAUAAAAUCAAAUAAAACAAAACAAAUCAAAACUUCUAGGAUACAAUAUAAAUUUUGGAUUAUCUUAUAUUCUUUUAUUUUUAUUCACCCUUAAAGUUAAUGUUAAAAUUAGGCCUACACAUGUUACAUUUUUAUUUUUAUUUUAUCUUGAAGUUAAUGGCGAAAUUAGGCAUACUCAUAUUGUACUGUUUUAUUAAUCCAACCAAAACAAUGACGAAUUGCUAAAAUAAAUCUCAUUCUUUAUUUAAUAAAUAAAACAACAAUAAUUUUGUGAACCCAAUAAUUCCUACUUUAUCAUUAUUAGCAUCGAAAUCAAGAAAUGAACAACAUCAUGACCCAUUCAUUUUAAGACAUCACAACUAAUGAACGAAAAUAGAUAAAUAAAAAUAACCACCAAUAAAGUUACUUUCAUUCAUUAAAGAGAUAUAACACUUAACACAUUCUUCAUUUUAAUCAAAUUAUGAAUAAAAUAAAAGUGUAAGAAAACUUAUCAUAAUAAUUACAUCAAAUUCCAUGAAUAAAUUAAAUAAGAAGAUAAAGUAAAGUUGAAUACCGCAAAAUCUUAACCGAAGCUCGAUUAGAACACCCACAACUUUUGUAGGUUGUUUGUGAUGGUAUAUGUGUUUGUGUUGAUAUGAAAAAAAUGGGUAAGGAAGAAAAGAUGUGAAUG
rnacentral:lncRNA from 1 species